CAAUAGCGUAUAUUAAUGUUGUUGCAGUUAAAAAGCUCGUAGUUGGAUUUCUGAUGGGAGCCCUGGUCACUCUAACGAGUGUACUGAUGUGGCGUCUUGUCGUUUCAUGGGGAUGCUAGCUGGUAUUAAGUUAUCGGCUUGUGGAUCCAUGUCGUUUACUGUGAAAAAAUUAGAGUGUUCAAAGCAGGCCAUCGCUGUGAAUACAUUAGCAUGGAAUAGUAAGAUAGGACUGUGGUGCUAUUUUGUUGGUUUGCGUACUACGGUAAUGAUUAAUAGGGAUAGUUGGGGGUAUUCAUAUUCAAUUGUCAGAGGUGAAAUUCUUGGAUUUAUGGAAGAUGAACUACUGCGAAAGCAUUUACCAAGGAUGUUUUCAUUAA
rnacentral:rRNA from 1 species